rnacentral:rRNA from 1 species
CACGUAGGGUGCGAGCGUUGUCCGGAAUUAUUGGGCGUAAAGAGCUCGUAGGCGGUGUGUCGCGUCGGCCGUGAAAACCUGCAGCUUAACUGUGGGCGUGCGGUCGAUACGGGCAGGCUGGAGUACUGCAGGGGAGACUGGAAUUCCUGGUGUAGCGGUGGAAUGCGCAGAUAUCAGGAGGAACACCGGUGGCGAAGGCGGGUCUCUGGGCAGUAACUGACGCUGAGGAGCGAAAGCGUGGGGAGCGAACAGG